rnacentral:rRNA from 1 species
GAGGAAACUUGUGCUAAUACCGGAUAAGUCUUUACGGAGAAAGCUUUAUGCACCAUUGGAUGAGCCUGCAUUUGAUUAGUUUGUUGGUAGGGUAAUGGCCUACCAAGACUGUGAUCAAUAGCUGAUUUGAGAGGAUGAUCAGCCACAUUGGGACUGAGACACGGCCCAAACUCCUACGGGAGGCAGCAGUGGGGAAUCUUGCACAAUGGAGGAAACUCUGAUGCAGCGAUGCCGCGUGAGUGAAGAAGGCCCUUGGGUUGUAAAGCUCUUUCGUCGGGGAAG